rnacentral:rRNA from 1 species
AGAAUCAACGCUGGCGGCGUGCCUAACACAUGCAAGUCGAACGCGAAAGGGGCUUCGGCUCUGAGUAGAGUGGCGAACGGGUGAGUAACACGUGGGUGAUCUACCUUCGAGCGGGGGAUAACGUUCCGAAAGGGACGCUAAUACCGCAUGACGUCCUGGGUUUGAAGACCUGGAGACCAAAGCUAGGGACCGCAAGGCCUGGCACUUGAAGAGGAGCCCGCGUCCGAUUAGCUAGUUGGCGGGGUAACGGCCCACCAAGGCGACGAUCGGUAGCCGGCCUGAGAGGGCGGACGGGCCACGACUGGGACUGAGACGCGGCCCAGACUCCUACGGGAGGCAGCAGUGGGGAAUUGUUCACAAUGGGCGCAAGCCUGAUGACGCAACGCCGCGUGGGGGAUGAAGGUCUUCGGAUCGUAAACCCCUGUCGAAUGGGACGAAAAACUUCCGGAUUAAUACCCUGGAGGAUUGACGGUACCGUUAAAGGAAGCCACGGCUAACUCUGUGCCAGCAGCCGC